rnacentral:lncRNA from 1 species
UUAAAAUGUCUGUAACUAGUUAAAUAAAAUUUUUGCAUUUUAGUAGUAUAUGGUAUCCUUAAUUAGCAGGCAUUAAUCCUUCCCAGGCUAUGGUGUUGAACAAAGAAGAACAGCAAAACAAAAGAUUAAUACAAAUACUGUACAAAAAUGAAAAAUUGAAACCAAUUAAAAAGUUUGUGAAAAAUAGAAAUAGACUGGCUUGCAACAGAUACCCAACUGUCUUCACAGCACUUAAGAAUGACAAGGAUAUGUUUAACAAAAUACAGAAAAUUUGGAGUAUAUGUGAUACUUUAAUAUUGAUUUAAGGGGACACACCUAUGUGAUUUGGG